rnacentral:rRNA from 1 species
AUGGCUCAGGAUGAACGCUAGCGGCAGGCUUAACACAUGCAAGUCGAGGGGCAGCGGGAUGUAGCAAUACAUUGCCGGCGACCGGCGGAUGGGUGCGUAACGCGUAUGCAACCUACCUUAUACAGGGGAAUAACCUUUCGAAAGGGAGACUAACACCCCAUAGUAUUGAUUUAAGGCAUCUUAGAUUAAUUAAAUAUUUAUAGGUAUAAGAUGGGCAUGCGUAUGAUUAGCUAGUUGGUAAGGUAACGGCUUACCAAGGCGACGAUCAUUAGGGGUUCUGAGAGGAAGGUCCCCCCACACUGGUACUGAGACACGGACCAGACUCCUACGGGAGGCAGCAGUGAGGAAUAUUGGUCAAUGGGCGCAAGCCUGAACCAGCCAUGCCGCGUGCAGGAAAGACGGCCUUAUGGGUUGUAAACUGCUUUUACAUAAGACUAACCGUAUAUUUGCGAAUAUACCUGAAUGUAUUAUGAGAAUAAGGAUCGGCUAACUCCGUGCCAGCCGCAGC